CCAGAGCCAACAGACACUGCGGAGGUGGGAUUCCGGGAGCGCUCCGCAGCCCCCAUCACAACGGCGCCAGCCGGGCUGGGCUCCAAGAAGAACACUGAACGGGGCACGAUCAGGCUCUGCGUGACCUGCACGGAGCGCGGCGGACCCGCUCAGGGCUGUCGGGCCGGCAGCAGGGCACUGCGAGCCCCGGCCCCGGGCGGCGCAGGGAGCGCCGGGCAGCCGCGGCCCGGGCACCCGGGGCCUCCGCAGGGCCGCGGAUCGGGAGCAGGGCACUGCGAGCCCCGGCCCCGGGCGGCGCAGGGAGCGCCGGGCAGCCGCGGCCCGGGCACCCGGGGCCUCCGCAGGGCCGCGGAUCGGGAGCAGGGCACUGCGAGCCCCGGCCCCGGGCGGCGCAGGGAGCGCCGGGCAGCCGCGGCCCGGGCACCCGGGGCCUCCGCAGGGCCGCGGAUCGGGAGCAGGGCACUGCGAGCCCCGGCCCCGGGCGGCGCAGGGAGCGCCGGGCAGCCGCGGCCCGGGCACCCGGGGCCUCCGCAGGGCCGCGGAUCGGGAGCAGGGCACUGCGAGCCCCGGCCCCGGGCGGCGCAGGGAGCGCCGGGCAGCCGCGGCCCGGGCACCCGGGGCCUCCGCAGGGCCGCGGAUCGGGAGCAGGGCACUGCGAGCCCCGGCCCCGGGCGGCGCAGGGAGCGCCGGGCAGCCGCGGCCCGGGCACCCGGGGCCUCCGCAGGGCCGCGGAUCGGGAGCAGGGCACUGCGAGCCCCGGCCCCGGGCGGCGCAGGGAGCGCCGGGCAGCCGCGGCCCGGGCACCCGGGGCCUCCGCAGGGCCGCGGAUCGGGAGCAGGGCACUGCGAGCCCCGGCCCCGGGCGGCGCAGGGAGCGCCGGGCAGCCGCGGCCCGGGCACCCGGGGCCUCCGCAGGGCCGCGGAUCGGGAGCAGGGCACUGCGAGCCCCGGCCCCGGGCGGCGCAGGGAGCGCCGGGCAGCCGCGGCCCGGGCACCCGGGGCCUCCGCAGGGCCGCGGGCGGGGCCCGCCUGUUAUAAGUGCGGGUCCCGGGGUUUUGGGGGGCUGUUGGUGCGAAGCUCAGUGCCGGGUGCGUGGCGGUUCUGUCUGGCACGGCCAUGUGAGUGA
rnacentral:lncRNA from 1 species